AUUCCGUGAUGAGGGCAUCUUCGUAAUAGUUCUUUAAAUCUUUCUCAUGCCUCAUACAAGGUCUUAUCUUAUAUUUGUUGGAAGGUAGUGAUAUCAUUCUGCAACU
rfam:Gossypium hirsutum cultivar TM-1 chromosome 14, whole genome shotgun sequence